GACGUAGGAGGCGAGCGUUAUCCGGAUUCAUUGGGCGUAAAGCGCACGUAGGCGGCUUUGCAAGUCGGACGUGAAAUCCCUCAGCUCAACUGAGGAAGUGCAUCCGAAACUGCAAGGCUUGAGUACUGAAGAGGAUCGCGGAAUUCCCGGUGUAGAGGUGAAAUUCGUAGAUAUCGGGAGGAACACCAGUGGCGAAGGCGGCGAUCUGGGCAGAUACUGACGCUGAGGUGCGAAAGCGUGGGGAGCAAACAGG
rnacentral:rRNA from 1 species